rnacentral:rRNA from 1 species
GUAUCUUUGGGUCUGGCUCUUGUCUAUGUUUCUUGGAACAGAACGUCACAGAGGGUGAGAAUCCCGUGCGAUGAGAUGAUCCAGGCCUAUGUAAAGUUCCUUCGAAGAGUCGAGUUGUUUGGGAAUGCAGCUCUAAGUGGGUGGUAAAUUCCAUCUAAAGCUAAAUAUUGGCGAGAGACCGAUAGCGAACAAGUACAGUGAUGGAAAGAUGAAAAGAACUUUGAAAAGAGAGUGAAAAAGUACGUGAAAUUGUUGAAAGGGAAGGGCUUGAGAUCAGACUUGGUAUUUUGUAUGUUACUUCUUCGGGGGUGGCCUCUACAGUUUAUCGGGCCAGCAUCAGUUUGGGCGGUAGGAGAAUUGCGUUGGAAUGUGGCACGGCUUCGGUUGUGUGUUAUAGCCUUCGUCGAUACUGCCAGCCUAGACUGAGG